UAAGUUUAAGAAUUUAUUUAUAACCUCAUUUCUACCUCUAAAAGGAAGGGUCAGCCAGCGAGUUCGACGGUGGUGUGUCAGUGGAACAAAGUGAGAUUGUAACAAGGCAACUUUAAAGAUUGACAUUAAAGCUGACUUCACACCGGCAGUACAACGAACUCUUUAUUGCCGUUAAGAAGAAGAG